UACGGGGGGGGCAAGCGUUGUUCGGAAUUACUGGGCGUAAAGGGCGCGUAGGCGGCCUGCUAAGUCACACGUGAAAUCCCUCGGCUCAACCGGGGAACUGCGUGUGAUACUGGCGGGCUUGAAUUCGGGAGAGGGAUGUGGAAUUCCAGGUGUAGCGGUGAAAUGCGUAGAUAUCAGGAGGAACACCGGUGGCGAAGGCGGAUCUCUGGGCCUUACCUGACGCUGAGGCGCGAAAGCUAGGGGAGCAAACAGG
rnacentral:rRNA from 1 species